UUCCUGCAUUUGAUUAGAUUAAAGCCACAGUUUUUAUGCUUUUCUCAUUCCCUUUUUUCCUUUGUUGUCUGAGGCUCUGAACUCCGAGCUCAGUCACUAACUACUCAGUACUGCUACUACUCUACCAUGCCAAUCAACAAUUUUUCUUCUCCUAAUUACUACUCCUACUAUUAUUCUCGUCGCAAUUCUAUUUCCAUGCCUUCUUCUCUUCUCAUUUUCUAACUUUUGUUCCUCUUUUUUACUUCUUUUCUUUUGAUAGGAAGAAAAAAAAAGCUUAGCUUCCAAAAAUAUAUUUCCAAUAUGGCUCUGCCUCAAAUCUUGCCAUCCACUUCUUCUUCAAUAAUCCCAAGCAAAUCCCACUUAAACCCCCCUGCUAAUUCCCACUUAAACCAUCCCCUUAAACCCUUCGUUUCUUCCCCAUCAGCACCACCGCCACUUCACCACCGCCAGUGGCGGCGCAGACCCAAUCUCCUCCGCUGCUCUGCCUCCUCAUUCUCCGAGAAACAUCACACCAACUCCCCCAAAUCCGACGACGUUGUCGAGCUCCCGCUCUUCCCUCUCCCUCUCGUCCUCUUUCCCGGCGCAAUCCUCCCUCUUCAGAUCUUCGAGUUCCGCUACAGGAUCAUGAUGCAUACCCUCCUUCAGACUGACCUCCGUUUCGGCGUGAUUUACGCCGAUGCCGCCACCGGCACCGCCGACGUGGGCUGCGUCGGGGAGGUCGUCAAACACGAGCGUCUCGUCGACGACCGGUUCUUCUUGAUCUGUAAAGGCCAAGAAAGGUUCCGGGUAACGAAACUGCUUCGGACUAAACCAUAUUUGGUCGCCGAGGUGACGUGGCUGGAGGACCGCCCGUCGGCCAAUGGGGACGAAGACUUGAACUCCUUAGCUAACGAAGUCGAGACUUACAUGAAGGAUGUGAUACGUUUAUCCAACAGGCUCAACGGGAAGCCCGAAAAGGAGGUCCAAGAUUUGCGGAGGAAUCUGUUUCCGACGCCGUUUUCGUUUUUUGUGGGGUCGACGUUUGAAGGGGCGCCCAGGGAACAGCAGGCGUUGCUGGAGUUGGAGGACACGGCCACGAGAUUGAAGAGGGAGAAGGAGACUUUGAGGAAUACUUUGAAUUAUUUAACCGCGGCUUCUGCGAUGUCUUUUUCUUAUGAUAAGCACAAGUAGUGAUUGAUGGUAGCUUUUUGUUGAUUGUGAUGAGUGAGAUGAUCGUGGAGAUAGGAACAUCCCAAGGCUUUUUAUUCAUGGCUCUAUUGCUUAGAACGGUUGUGCAUCAGAUUUUCUGUUCUGUAAUCUGUAAUAACAUUGGUCUUUCAACAUGCUGAGAGUCUUCAAACACUCUUUCAAAUCCUCUGAGGUUUCUGUUGGAAAUGUGGAGAACAUUUGUCACAACAGAGCUUCCACACAGAGCGUCGUGGCAGGACCGUUAUUUGGAACUAGCAGAUGCCAUGGUGGAACUUUUCGGCACAAUAGAGCCCCUUCUGUUGCGCACGGUGUUGUGGUGGAACCAUCUAUCAUUUUAUUGGAACCAAGCAGAUUUCUUGUGCAAUAAUUUCAAACUGAAACUACUACAGUGUGCUCGUCAAUAUCAUCCUCUGUGAAGGUGUAGGUGGGACUUUUAUUUGCGGGUCGUGGUCCUUCAUGGUGUUCCCUUGUUGUCCCAGUAAUUGUGUGUUUCUCUUUUUCCAAAUUUUAAUGAGAUUUGCUCGUAUAAAGAUUCAGGAGAUAGAUCCAUGGAACAUUAUUAUUAUUCUCUUUUCCUCGAGAUAUCACCGUUUCUGACUGGU